GAUGAACGCCGGCGGUGUGCCUAAUACAUGCAAGUCGAGCGCACUGGCCCAACUGAUAUGACGUGCUUGCACUGAUUUGACGAUGGAUCACCAGUGAGCGGCGGACGGGUGAGUAACACGUGGGCAACCUGCCCUGGAGCGGGGGAUAACAUUUGGAAACAGAUGCUAAUACCGCAUAACAAUCAAAACCACAUGGUUUUGAUUUCAAAGAUGGUUUCGGCUAUCACUCCAGGAUGGGCCCGCGGUGCAUUAGCUAGUUGGUAAGGUAACGGCUUACCAAGGCGAUGAUGCAUAGCCGAGUUGAGAGACUGAUCGGCCACAAUGGAACUGAGACACGGUCCAUACUCCUACGGGAGGCAGCAGUAGGGAAUCUUCCACAAUGGGCGUAAGCCUGAUGGAGCAACGCCGCGUGAGUGAAGAAGGGUUUCGGCUCGUAAAACUCUGUUGUUGAAGAAGAACGUGUAUGAGAGUAACUGUUCAUGCAGUGACGGUAUUCAACCAGAAAGUCACGGCUAACUAC
rnacentral:rRNA from 1 species